rnacentral:rRNA from 1 species
UACGAAGGGGGCUAGCGUUGCUCGGAAUCACUGGGCGUAAAGCGCACGUAGGCGGCUUUCUAAGUCAGGGGUGAAAUCCUGGAGCUCAACUCCAGAACUGCCUUUGAUACUGGAAAGCUUGAGUUCGAGAGAGGUGAGUGGAACUGCGAGUGUAGAGGUGAAAUUCGUAGAUAUUCGCAAGAACACCAGUGGCGAAGGCGGCUCACUGGCUCGAUACUGACGCUGAGGUGCGAAAGCUAGGGGAGCGAAUGGG